UCACCGGUAAAUUAAAAAGAUACGGGCCGUUAUAGUUUACUACAGUCAUUGAAGCGCUUGUCCCAUAUUAGGCCGCACUUGGAAAGAUAAAGAACGAUAACAGUACUCUGUGUUAUUUCCAGGUGCGGCCUAAAACAAGAAACACAACUUCGAUUACUGCAGUAAACUUUGACGCUUUAUAUCUUUUUUAUUUAUCGGUGAAAUAGCACGAUUUUUGGCACAUGCCUUUACAGUGAAACAGGCCACAACUCUUAUAAAUGACGUUAAUCUGAAAAUGUUUAAACAGCCACGUUUCCUAUUUUUAAUUGAAGUGUCCAGUCCGGGCAUACAGAGGUCCUUG